rnacentral:lncRNA from 12 species
CCCCCCCCCCCCCCCCCCCCCCCCCCCCCCCCCCCCCCCCAAAAAAAAAAAAAAAGGAUUAAAAAAAAAAACACGAACUCUCCAUCCUGGAAAAUGGAAAGAGGUGUUUUCCCGUGUGCGUGUGCGCGCUCGUGCGCCUGUGUGUGUCGUCAACCCUCCGUGGACUCACUGCUUGUCCAUGACCGAGGAGCAGCGCUGACCCUGCAGCCCAGGGGCCGGGGGUGGUGCCCACAGCCCUCAGGGGCAGCUGGGCAGCCCCAGUGAUGAAGGAAGCACUCAGCAUCCUGCAUGUGGGAAGGAGGAUGCCAAGGGCCGGCCGGCGCGGCGGGGAUGGGACGGGACUGGAGGAGCCACCGCGUGGCUGUGACUGGGUUGGUGGCUGCUGGAGGAGGAGAGAUGCUCUGGGAAACGGACUGCUCAGGCCUCCAGGGCCUCGGUGAUGUCUGGAAGAUGGCUUUGGAGGACUUUUUCCCCCAUCUUGUGGACCUAAGGAUUUUGAUAUUGAUUUAUGGACUUAGGUUUCGUGGUUUCAGAGGGGCGUCGAGUGCAGCAUUGCAGCGGGGCAGCGGCGCUGGAGAGGGGCCCCAGGGGCUGUUCCCACCCCUGGAUGCUCCAGGCAUCCCUCGGUCCCCGUCCCCCCGAGCCGCGGCGUGUCCCGGGCCAGCCCUACCCUGUCCUGUACAUAACCAGUGAGAUGUCUGUAAAAGAUUUCAGCCCUUGUUUUUUUUUUUUUUUUUUUUUUUUGCUCCCCUCUCCCUUUCCCCUUGUCCCCCAAUUUGUUGAUUGUGUUGAAAUUGUCGGAGUUUGUAACAGUAUCUUUCAGAGAAUAUUGUACUAAAGAGAAAAUUGCACUCAAUAAAAAGGAUGAAAUAAGCCUGGUCCCUCGCCUUCCCCUUCCCCUUCCCCGGGGCAGCCUUCCUGCUGCCGCCUUCUCUCCAGCUCGGAGCUGGGGGAGUGUUUGCCAUGAAUAUUCAUCUGGGGAGCUGGCAGCGCUCCAGCGCUCCUUGACUUACCUCGAAUGUUGAUGUCUAUCAGAUUUGGCUCCCCGGUUUGUAAAUGAAGUGACUUUCUUCUCGGCGAUCGCUAUCGGAGCUGGCUCGCCGGGAGGAGGAGUUUUCCUGCCCCGGGAGCGUCUCAAAGCCCUGGUGUGUGAUCGCUCAGGGAAGCGCUGCCUGGGAUCAAAGCCCCUGCCCAGCCCUGCUGGAGCCUGUCCAUGCAAAGCCUUGAGCCUGCUUUCCUUAAGGAUUACUCUAAAUGAGGGCUGGAAAAUGGAUUCUUCCUUGUGCAUUGGCUGCACUCGGGCAUUUUAUCCCCCUGGGAUCAAUCAGAACCCAUCCAGCUCUGUCAUACACGCUCUUGGGGUGGUCCUGGGGCUGGACUCCACGAUCCUUGUGGGCCCCUUCCACCUCAGGGUAUUCUGUGAUUCUCUGACCCAGGUGGUGCUGGGAGCAGCUGGUCCUGCCAGCUGGGAACAUCCUCCAGCUGGCAGCAGGGGCUGAAACGGGGGCUAAAGGUUUUGUAAAUUAGGACUUUUAUUUGGGGUUAUUUGGGAGUUCAGGAAGGGGAGCUGCUACUCUGGAGGUGGGGGCAGGGGUUCCCAUGGCUGGGGUUUUGGGGUGAGCCCUGGGGAGGGAGGCAAUGGUGGGGCUGGCAGAGCUCUGCAGUCCCUGGCAUCCUGUAAUUGUCCCACCAGUGGUGGUGUUGGUAUGGGGUGUUCUCACGGCUCCUGUCAGGAGAUUUCCGAGUCUUUUCUGCUUCUCCAGGCCCUUCAUAGCUGGGAUGUUUUUAUUACAGGGAUUUUGGAGUGAUUGAGUUCCAUGUGCUGAUGGAGAUGGCUCCAGGUCUCUGCAGGCAGGACUCCACUGCCCUAGACUCACAUACCACAGUGAGGUUUGCCUCACAUUUUUCACAGGGGUAGAACUGUUGUUUUGGGUGUUUUGCAUGGUUUUUUUUUUUGCCAGGUCCAUCCUGACAAAUGAAAGCAGAGAGUCUCUGCCAUCUUUGGAUAUGCAAGAUGCAAAUAGGCAGCAGCUGAUGGAGAGCAGAGUGAAGUUGUUUAUGUGUCCUUAAUUGAGUAGACACUUGAUUUAAUGUGCUUCUGGUGUGGUUUAAAUGAGUGUUCUUGUUGAAUCCUCUGGGAUGUGGGGUGCUGGGAGGGUGUAUCCUUUACACAGGUCACUCUGAGGUUUUCCCUGAAGAAACAACAGACAUUUACAGCCAGUGUGUGAUGUUCCCUAAGCAGUUUGGCUUGGAAGAGCCUUUUACCAGGGUCUGGGGGAGCCCUGCUGUCAGUGUAGGGCUAAUGGGGCUCUGAAGGGCCCUGGGGAGCUCAGCAGGGCCUGGACAUGGCCAGCCAGUCCCUGACAGACCCUCACUCCCUGGUAGAGGUUUGCACAGCUGCAGGCUCUGGAAGCUGUGUUUUAUUUUCCCCACAGGAUAACCAGUCACCAUCUCCACCUGUGUCCCAGCUGGAGCGAGAUGUCAUUUGUUUACCAGGCCACACAGCAUCCAAAGAAACUUUCCCUCAGCUUUCAAUAUAGACACAGGUGACUGUCACAGCCAGAACAGAGCAUAACCCUCAGGAUGAAGA